ACAAACGUUCUCAUUUUACAGCUAAACUGUGCACUACAAGAUGAUUCUGAAAACAUUUGAGUGAGUAGCAAGCGGUGACAGGAGAUCAGACUGCUGACACGAGCGUGAAGAGGCCUGCUGACGCACAUCAACUUCAAGGAGACCAGUGGAUGCUUCAGCCAAGACGCUGGAACUCAUUAGUUGCGUCUGACU